rnacentral:rRNA from 1 species
AUUGAACGCUGGCGGCAGGCCUAACACAUGCAAGUCGAGCGGAUGAGGGGAGCUUGCUCCUGGAUUCAGCGGCGGACGGGUGAGUAAUGCCUAGGAAUCUGCCUGGUAGUGGGGGAUAACGUCCGGAAACGGGCGGUAAUAACGCAUACGUCCUGAGGGAGAAAGUGGGGGGGCGUUGGAACUCACGCUCUCAGAUGAGCCUAGGUCGGAUUAGCUAGUUGGUGGGGUAAAGGCCUACCAAGGCGACGAUCCGUAACUGGUCUGAGAGGAUGAUCAGUCACACUGGAACUGAGACACGGUCCAGACUCCUACGGGACGCAGCAGUGGGGAAUAUUGGACAAUGGGCGAAAGCCUGAUCCAGCCAUGCCGCGUGUGUGAAGAAGGUCUUCGGAUUGUAAAGCACUUUAAGUUGGGAGGAAGGGCAGUAAGUUAAUACCUUGCUGUUUUGACGUUACCAACAGAAUAAGCACCGGCUAACUUCGUG